UACGUAGGGGGCUAGCGUUGUCCGGAAUCAUUGGGCGUAAAGGGCGCGUAGGCGGUCUGUUGCGUCGGCUGUGAAAACCCGAGGCUCAACCUCGGGCCUGCAGCCGAUACGGGCAGACUAGAGUUCGGCAGGGGAGACUGGAAUUCCUGGUGUAGCGGUGAAAUGCGCAGAUAUCGGGAGGAACACCAGUGGCGAAGGCGACUUCCUGGCCUGUUCUUGACGCUGAGGCGCGAAAGCUAGGGUAGCAAACGGG
rnacentral:rRNA from 1 species